CAAGUGCCUUUCCUUGUAUUACGUACUUGAUGUCACAUAGUAUACUACCAUCCCGACACAAGGGUGAUGAUAGACAGUGGCUAUCGAUCUGCAUGCAUCAGGAUAUGUAUGUACGCUGUCGUGUUCCUAUAUGUGUAUCGCUGUGUGGGACACUCACCUGUCACCUGCACAACGAAGCAACAGGUGCGUGCCAGUUUGUUCAUCGUGUGUUCGGCACGCGAUCACGUAGGACGGUGUAUGAAUCAAGUCUGCAACUUACCAUGUGUCGGGGUAUCCUGGCAAAAGUUCACCACACUGGAUAACUGCACGCGCAUGGUCAGAGCACAUGUUCAGUAUGGACGCACACCUAUUUGACAGUAAUAUGCUGCAAGCUUCCCAAAUGGGACUGGAUAUGGACCUUAUGGUGAAUCAAGCAGUGAUAGCAAUACCUGUUGGCCGUUCCAUCAGUGACAACUUCAGGCACUGGAUGAAUAUAACCCAAAAGACAUUUAACAGGUUCAUCUUCUUCUGUCCCACGUUUCCAGCUCGCUCGGACAACAUCUAUUGUGAUCCCAAUAAGCGCAAGGCUGGUUACGAUAUUUUGUGUAAAUAAAGAAGAUUGUUGGCUU